rnacentral:rRNA from 1 species
UACGGAGGGUGCGAGCGUUGUCCGGAAUUAUUGGGCUUAAAGGGCUUGUAGGCGGUUUGUCACGUCUGCCGUGAAAGUCCGGGGCUCAACCCCGGACUUGCGGUGGGUACGGGCAGACUAGAGUGUGGUAGGGGAGACUGGAAUUCCUGGUGUAGCGGUGAAAUGCGCAGAUAUCAGGAGGAACACCGAUGGCGAAGGCAGGUCUCUGGGCCACUACUGACGCUGAGAAGCGAAAGCGUGGGGAGCGAACAGG